AAUUAAGUGUUGUGAUAUUCAGUAGAAAAUUGUUUCGGCAACAUGAAUAUCGUCAAUCUUUCUGUAUUUUUCAUCGUUCUUUUGGGAGUUGUUUUCGCCGAUCCUGUUAGAAAGCAGUUCGGGGAUUUUGGACGAGAUGAAUGGUCGAAUCAAGAGAAUUUGAAUAGGGAUCGAACUCGGAACUUCUAUCCUAGACUGCCCAAUAAUUCAGAACUUCCGGAUAAAGUAUUUGAGUUUCAAGAGUGCUACACACAAUCUAAUAAGGCUAAUUAUGAGUGUAAUAAACUUUGCACAAAACAAGGGUUUAAGGCAGGGCAUUGCUGCAAACACUAUCCCUAUCUGUAUAGCGUCUGUGCAUGCUACUCAAGCAAGAUGUAAAACUUAUCAGUCUUAUCAAUUUUUUUUCACAAAUAAAAAGAGUGCAUAAAAUA